UGAUGGAGCUAUGCCAUGUGAAUGAUGAAGAUCUUUUUGAUUGUAAAGUUCUUUUAUUGGGGAAAAUGAUGAUGGUACCCGAUGAAUAAGUGACAGCAAACUAUGUGCCAGCAGCUGCGGUAAUACAUAGGUCGCUAGCGUUAUUCGGAUUUAUUGGGCGUAAAGCAAGCGCAGGCGGACGAGUAAGUUCUGUGUUAAAAGCAGCAGCUCAACUGUUGUUUGCGCCGAAUACUGCUCGUCUAGAAUACGGUAGAAAGUUUCGGAAUUGAAUAUGGAGCGGUGGAAUGUGUAGAUAUAUUCAAGAACACCAGAGGCGAAGGCGGAAACUUAGGCCGCUAUUGACGCUUAGGCUUGAAAGUGUGGGGAGCAAAUGGGAUUAGAUACCCCAGUAGUCCACACCGUAAACGAUGGAUAUUAGAUGUUGGGACUUGAGUCUCAGCGUUGUAGCUUACGUGUUAAAUAUCCCGCCUGAGUAGUACAUAUGCAAAUAUGAAACUCAAAGGAAUUGACGGGGACCUGAACAAGUGGUGGAACAUGUUGCUUAAUUCGACAAUACACGAAAAACCUUACCAAGAUUUGACAUCCCUUGCUAAACCCUAGAAAUAGGGUGGAAGUUAUCAAGGUGACAGGUGGUGCAUGGCUGUCGUCAGCUCGUGUCAUGAGAUGUUUGGUUAAGUCCCGCAACGAGCGUAACCCUACUCUUUAGUUAGCUUUUUAGAGAGACUGCACAGUAAUGUAGAGGAAGGAUGGGAUCACGUCAAGUCAUCAUGCCCCUUAUAUCUUGGGCCGCAAACGUGUUACAAUGGCGAGU
rnacentral:rRNA from 1 species